UGGUCAUGGUGCCAACCACAUGGAGACACGACUCGCCCAGGGAGCAAAGGAGACCACCAAAACACACACAGAUGCAGACGUAGAUGACAGACACGACCCCUAUCUGGAAGCCCCUUAACCACAAGCCCCUGCUGGUCCAUCACGACUGACUGUUCAUCUAUCCUGCAGCUCGAAUGGAUCUCUACAUCUCUUUGAUCUGGGACGCUUCAUAAAUAAUAACCCCCACAGCAACACAGACCUACAUGUCAACACUGGGUUGCUGCUUUGAUGGAUGCUGGACCUGAUUAUUGGAAAAUAAAUCAGCAUCUCCAUAAAGCUUGUCAGCAGAAGGAAGCAUGAAGUGCUCUAACAUUUCGUGGAUGAUGACUGCGUUGAAGGAGGACUUUGGAAAACCCUGUGGGUCAACACCAUCAGAUGACAUGGC